AUUGAACGCUGGCGGCAGGCCUAACACAUGCAAGUCGAACGAGUGGCGGACGGGUGAGUAAUGUCUGGGAAACUGCCCGAUGGAGGGGGAUCACUACUGGAAACGGUAGCUAAUACCGCAUACCAUCUGAGGUGCCCAUAUGGGAUUAGCUAGUAGGUGGGGUAACGGCUCACCUAGGCGACGAUCCCUAGCUGGUCUGAGAGGAGGCCCAGCCACACUGGAACUGAGACACGGCCCAGACUCCUACGGUAGGCAGCAGUGGGGAAUAUUGCACAAUGGGCGAAAGCCUGAUGCAGCCAUGCCGCGUGUAUGAAGAAGGCCUUCGGGUUGUAAAGUACUUUCAGCGAGGAGGCGUUACUCGCAGAAGAAGCACCGGCUAACUCCGUGCCAGCAGCCGCGGUAAUAC
rnacentral:rRNA from 1 species